UGGAGUGAAUGAAGAGCAUCUAUGAUGAACAAAAGCUUUAUUCAACUGAAGAUGUUUCUAUCAAGGUCAACCCGAAUUGGUAUAUUUUGGACCGCUAUGCUUCACUCCUUCCUUGCAUGAGAUGAUGGAGUGAAUGAAGAGCAUCAAUGAUGGACGAAAGCUUUAUUCAACUGAAGAUGUUUCUAUCAAGGUCAACCCAGAUUGUUAUAUGUUGGACCGCUAUGCUUCACUCCUUCCUUGCAUGAGGUUAUUCACUGGUUGAAGAGCAGUCUCUAUCAAGGACGAAAGCUUUCUUCAUGAGAAGAUGUUUCUAUAAAGGUCAACCUGGAUUGAUAUGUUUGGGAUGGCUUUGCAUCACUCCUCCCUUGACCGAGAUUUAUGGAGUGAAUGAAGAGUAUCUUUUACGAAAAUGAGCUUCCUUUAUCUGAAGAUGUAUCUGUCAAGUUCAACCUGGAUUGUUAUGCUUUGGACUGCUAUGCUUCACUCCUUCCUUGCAUGAGAUUAAAGUUUGAAUGAGCAGCAUCUAUGAUGGACAAAAGCUUUACUCAACUGAAGAUGUUUCUAUCAACGUCGACCUAGAUUGUUAUGCAUCACUCCUGUCUUGUCUGAGAUUAUGGUUUGACUGAAGAGCAUCUAUCACGGAAAAAAAGCCUUCUUUAUCACAAGAUGUUUCUGUCAAGGUCAACCUGGAUGGUUAUAUUUUGGACUGCUGUGCUUCACUCCUUCCUUGCAUGAGAUUAUGGUUUGACUGAAGAGCAUCUAUCACAGAAAAAUAGCCUUCUUUAUCACAAGAUGUUUCUGUCAAGGUCAACCUGGAUUGUUAUAUUUUGGACUGCUGUGCUUCACUCCUCCUUGCAUGAGAUUAUGGUUUGAUUGAAGAGCAUCUAUCACGGACACAAGCUCUAUGCAAGUGAAGAUGCUUCUCUCAAGGUCAACCUGGAUUGUUAUGUUUUGGACCGCUAUGCAUCACU